UACGGGGGGGGCAAGCGUUGUUCGGAAUUACUGGGCGUAAAGGGCUCGUAGGCGGCCAACUAAGUCAGAUGUGAAAUCCCCAGGCUCAACCUGGGAACUGCAUCUGAUACUGGAUGGCUUGAAUCCGGGAGAGGGAUGCAGAAUUCCAGGUGUAGCGGUGAAAUGCGUAGAUAUCUGGAGGAAUACCGGUGGCGAAGGCGGCAUCCUGGACCGGCAUUGACGCUGAGGAGCGAAAGCUAGGGGAGCAAACGGG
rnacentral:rRNA from 1 species